AGGAAGGUUUCUGACUUGGAUGUUGUUGGUGUAAUUCCAGAAGAACUAUGAAGUUUGACUUUCCUCUUCAAUCUGAAUUUGUCCCAAAAUUACUUGACAGGUAGCCUGUCUACGUCAAUUGGCAAUCUAACUAGCAUGCAAUACCUGUAAGCCCAUCCGAAUUUUGAUUUGAAAUUCAUAAAACUUGGAACUUGGUGUACAUCUUAUUUUAGUUAAUCUUACCCUUUUUUUCUUUGCUCUGAUGUUUAAUAAAUUAGGACUUUAGCCUUUAAUGCAUUAUCAGGUACGCUUCCAAAGGAACUUGGAAAUCUUAUGAAUUUAAUAUCAUUGUCUCUUUCAACAAACAAAUUCUUUGGUUCUCUGCCAUCUGAGCUUGGGAAUUUAGUGAAAUUAGAAGAGUUGU